rnacentral:rRNA from 1 species
GACGAACGCUGGCGGCGUGCUUAACACAUGCAAGUCGAACGAAGUGGCGAACGGGUGAGUAACGCGUAAUCAACCUGCCCUUCAGAGGGGGACAACAGUUGGAAACGACAGCUAAUACCGCAUACUGAAGGACGGGAUUGCGUCUGAUUAGCGAGUUGGAGGGGUAACGGCCCACCAAGGCGCUGAUCAGUAGCCGGUCUGAGAGGAUGAACGGCCUCAUUGGGACUGAGACACGGCCCAGACUCCUACGGGAGGCAGCAGGGGGGAAUCUUCCGCAAUGGACGAAAGUCUGACGGAGCAACGCCGCGUGAGUGAUGACGGCCUUCGGGUUGUAAAGCUCUGUUAAUCAGGACGCGGUACCGGAAUAGAAAGCCACGGCUAACUACGUGCCAGCAGCCGCGGUAAUUC